AUCCCUUCUUGGCCUUUUGGCUAAGAUCAAGUGUAAAAUAUAUUGGUUUGCAUUUUUUAAAUUUGCAUGCCGUGUAUUUUUAGAAUAGUUUUAGGUUCACAGCAAAAUUAAACAGAAAUUACAAAGCAUUCCCAUAUAUCUCCU
rfam:Myotis brandtii contig318519, whole genome shotgun sequence.